GCACCCGCCUCUCAUGGGCGAGGGGACCAGUGAGGACAGGAAACAGCAGCCAAGAAAAGGACACUCCCUGCUUCUCUUUAGGCCUCAGUUUCCCCAACUUGCAGUGGGAAUGAAUUGGGCUACAUGACAGAUGGCAACUGGGGGCCAUUUCCAGCACCCACAUACAUUCUGUUUCACCCCCACGGUUGCUUUCUUCCCCAAAUUUUUAUUAUGAAAACUGUCAAGCUCACAGGACGCUGGAGCCUGGGGCAGGCGGUUCACGCCUGGCCCCGUGUGCUCCCCGCCGCGUAGAGACACAGGCCGCCUUCUGAAGCAUUUGACCUCCUCUGACAGACAAGAAGACCCAGAGCUGAUCUCCCACGUGACACCGUCAGCUGGACGAGCAGCUGCCCCUUUGGACAGGUGCUGCUGUUGGCAUGUCGACGCAAACAACUGAUGCUCAGCCUGUCAUGGACGAGAGUUUUUAUUCGAGGCAAGCUGAGGACUAGCCUGGAAGUGCAGUCUUCACCAAGGAAGAAACUCCGAGAAGUACGGUUUCCACACAGUCUCUACCAUUUCAGAACGAAGAGCACACAGCACACAUGACAGGGCUACCGACUUUUUCCUCAAGGUUUCAAGGAGGCUGUGUUUCCAGAUAGCACACACUCAGCGAGUCCACACGGUCUCGCGCUGUGGGAGGAGGCUCAGCUGCAUCGCAGGAAGGGCGGCAUCCACGCGUCUCCCUGAGACACUGUCUCCGGCCCACGGUGACAGGAGGCCCCUGUGGGCGCGUGGUCACAGCGCAGGGCGAUGGAUGCUCCGCAGGCGUGAGUCAGGCCUCUUGAGCCCCCGUGACACUCAGGCCGAUGCGGGUAUAAAGCAGAAUGGCUUCCCCGUCAUAGGUGACACGUGAACAGACCGUAACACGUGAACACGCCCUACUCAGUGUAAGUUUUCUGAGAUGCUAACAGUGCAGUUGAGCACAAACACCUGCACAAACAUUUUCGUCUCAGGGCAGCGAGCAGCUGGGAACUGACCUCAGUGCCCAACGACCGGGGCUGCUGAGAUAAUCCCCGUGUCCUUAAGAGGGAAGGAGGAGCCGCUGAGGCACAGAUGCUGCAUUGAGAGAUGACCCGAACAGCCACAAGAAAGGACUCCGUCAAGAGACCAGUAGGGUCUGUCGUCUGUUGAGGACACUGCAGUGUUCACUCAGCAGGAGACCAUGUGGCCACGGAAGAGCGUGGCGGCACCACGGCACCAUGGGCAGAGCUCCGGGACACACACUUAGGUGACACGCUUAACUUUUGGGUUAUAUGCCAACUUUUGGGUUAAAAAUGGGAAGAAAGAAAAUAUAUUUGUGUUUACUUGGGUUUAUGUGCGGAAAACGGGCAAACUUCUUAAGAAACAAGUAAAGCUGCUUCCAUGUGUGGUGGGGAGGGCAGGCAGGAAGGAGCGGGUGAGCCAGACGGGCCUCGGUGCCCACACGCCUUCUGUUCUACUUUCCCAAACGUGCAUAUAUUACCUAAUCAAAACUUAAACAGAAAAUAUUCUUAAAGAAUGAUUCUGUGGCUUUCUAUACAUUAACAAAGGAAAUUGUUUAUAGUAUAUUGUUAAAUGGAAAAGAAAGACUACAAAACAGUGAAUACGAUUACAUUUUUGUUGGAAAAAAUAGUAUCUGUGUGUAAAGAGCUCCAGGCGAGUAGCUUGGCCCGCCUUAUUCAUGAACAUGUUCCCAGAAUCCAGAGCACAUAGCGGUUCCUCAGUCAACACUGAACAAGCGAGUGAAUGAAUGAAUGAACAAACAAGAUGUCCAGAAGGAGACACAGCCAAACUGUGAACGCUGGUAGACUCUGGGGGUGGGUUUAUGAGGGAUUUUUAUCUUCUCGAUAUUCUUCUGUUUACUCUGAAAAUCGUCAGCGAGCACCUCUCGCACGUCCAACUAGGAAAGGACAGAGGGGCAGUGGAGGCCCUGCAUGGGCACCAGGGUGGCUGGGUCCCAAUGGGGCAGGGGCGGGGCUCCCUGGGAAGAACACUGGGCUAGUGACCAAGGCAGGCAGCCACCGACCUGCCCACCUCAUUCCACACAGGCCUGGCAGAGCAGCGGUCCCAGGGGGAGGGAAAGUGAGGCCCAGAGAGGGACUGCCACUGGCCCUCGGUUGCACAGGAGGGCCUGCUCAGGUCUCAGCCUCCAACAUCAGGACGCCGGGACACCAGAAGUUAUUCGUACUCCUUAACUCUAUUUUACAGAUGAGGAAAAAGG
ensembl:lncRNA